CCUACGGGAGGCAGCAGUGAGGAAUAUUGGUCAAUGGGCGAGAGCCUGAACCAGCCAAGUCGCGUGAAGGAUGACGGCCCUACGGGUUGUAAACUUCUUUUGUCAGGGAGCAAUUGAGUCCACGUGCGGGCUUAGCGAGAGUACCUGAAGAAAAAGCAUCGGCUAACUCCGUGCCAGCAGCCGCGGUAAUACGGAGGAUGCGAGCGUUAUCCGGAUUUAUUGGGUUUAAAGGGUGCGUAGGCGGAAUAUCAAGUCAGCGGUAAAAAUUCGGGGCUCAACCCCGUCGUGCCGUUGAAACUGAUGGUCUUGAGUGGGCGAGAAGUGUGCGGAAUGCGUGGUGUAGCGGUGAAAUGCAUAGAUAUCACGCAGAACUCCGAUUGCGAAGGCAGCAUACCGGGGCCCAACUGACGCUGAAGCACGAAAGCGUGGGUAUCGAACAGGAUUAGAUACCCCAGUAGUC
rnacentral:rRNA from 1 species